rnacentral:rRNA from 1 species
GAUGAACGCUGGCGGCGUGCCUAAUACAUGCAAGUCGAGCGAACAGAUGAGGAGCUUGCUCCUCUGACGUUAGCGGCGGACGGGUGAGUAACACGUGGAUAACCUACCUAUAAGACUGGGAUAACUUCGGGAAACCGGAGCUAAUACCGGAUAAUAUAUUGAACCGCAUGGUUCAAUAGUGAAAGACGGUUUUGCUGUCACUUAUAGAUGGAUCCGCGCCGCAUUAGCUAGUUGGUAAGGUAACGGCUUACCAAGGCAACGAUGCGUAGCCGACCUGAGAGGGUGAUCGGCCACACUGGAACUGAGACGCGGUCCAGACUCCUACGGGAGGCAGCAGUAGGGAAUCGUCCGCAAUGGGCGAAAGCCUGACGGAGCAACGCCGCGUGAGUGAUGAAGGUCUUCGGAUCGUAAAACUCUGUUAUUAGGGAAGAACAAAUGUGUAAGUAACUAUGCACGUCUUGACGGUACCUAAUCAGAAAGCCACGGCUAACUACGUG